AGUGAACGCUGGCGGUAGGCCUAACACAUGCAAGUCGAACGGCAGCACAGUAAGAGCUUGCUCUUACGGGUGGCGAGUGGCGGACGGGUGAGGAAUACAUCGGAAUCUACUUUUUCGUGGGGGAUAACGUAGGGAAACUUACGCUAAUACCGCAUACGACCUACGGGUGAAAGCAGGGGAUCUUCGGACCUUGCGCGAUUGAAUGAGCCGAUGUCGGAUUAGCUAGUUGGCGAGGUAAAGGCCCACCAAGGCGACGAUCCGUAGCUGGUCUGAGAGGAUGAUCAGCCACACUGGAACUGAGACACGGUCCAGACUCCUACGGGAGGCAGCAGUGGGGAAUAUUGGACAAUGGGCGAAAGCCUGAUCCAGCAAUACCGCGUGGGUGAAGAAGGCCUUCGGGUUGUAAAGCCCUUUUGUUGGGAAAGAAAAGCAGCAGGUUAAUACCCCGCUGUUCUGACGGUACCCAAAGAAUAAGCACCGGCUAACUUCGUG
rnacentral:rRNA from 1 species